rnacentral:tRNA from 1 species
GUCCCUGUGGCUCAGUUGGUAGAGCAUGGUGUUUGCAACGCCAGGGUAGUGGGUUCGAUUCCCACGGGGGGCC